GACGAACGCUGGCGGCGUGCUUAACACAUGCAAGUCGAGCGGUAAGGCUCCUUCGGGAGUACACGAGCGGCGAACGGGUGAGUAACACGUGAGUAAUCUGCCCUUCACUUCGGGAUAACCAUCGGAAACGGUGGCUAAUACCGAAUACGACGCACUCUUGCAUGAGAUGUGCGUGGAAAGUUUUUUCGGUGAAGGAUGUGCUCGCGGCCUAUCAGCUUGUUGGUGAGGUAACGGCUCACCAAGGCUUCGACGGGUAGCCGGCCUGAGAGGGUGACCGGCCACACUGGGACUGAGACACGGCCCAGACUCCUACGGGAGGCAGCAGUGGGGAAUAUUGGACAAUGGGCGAAAGCCUGAUCCAGCAACGCCGCGUGAGGGAUGACGGCCUUCGGGUUGUAAACCUCUUUCAGCUCCGACGAAGCGCCUUUAAAGGUUGUGACGGUAGGUGCAGAAGAAGGACCGGCCAACUACGUGCCAGCAGCCGCCGUAAUAA
rnacentral:rRNA from 1 species